GAAGUAUCAACUUUUAAAAGUAAAUUCCCCAUUUUCUCUAAACUCUGUAUCUCGGAAAUCAUGUUGAUCCAUCCGUUACUUGUUUGAUUUCCCGUCGCCGCUGCGGCCUUCUUCCGCCGGGACGCUGCCGCAGUCACUGUUCAUCAGAAACUCCUCCAUUUUGCUUGACUUCUGAAGAAUAAGGUUUUUUCUCUUGAACGACCUUCAAUGUCUUUACGCAGACCUCCACUUCCUCGAUUACUUCUCAACAACGUUUCUUGCAUGAGAAACGCUCAACAAAUCUUACGCCAUACAAACAUCUCAAUUCACGAUGGUGGAGCCCUAGUACUCACCGGAGCAAAUGGCUCCGGCAAGUCUACCUUCUUACGAAUGCUGGCCGGAUUCUCCAAACCAUCAGCCGGUGAGAUCCUAUGGAAUGGCCAUGACAUAACUGAGUCAGGAGUUUUCCACCAAUACAAACUUCAACUCAACUGGCUCUCACUCAAAGAAGCCAUUAAAUCCAACUUCACUGUUCUUGACAAUGUUCAAUGGUUUGAAGUUCUUGAAAGUAAACAAGGAAAAUCUUUACCUGCUCUUGAGUUCAUGGGGCUUGGAAGACUUGCCAAUGAGAAAGCACGGAUGCUUUCAAUGGGUCAAAGAAAAAGAUUGCAGCUUGCAAGAGUUAUGGCCAUGGAUAGACCGAUUUGGCUGCUUGAUGAACCUUCUGUUGCUUUAGAUGAUGAAGGUGUGAAGCUUUUGGAACAGAUGAUUGCAGAUCAUAGGAGCCAGGGUGGAAUAGUCAUUGUAGCUACACAUCUCCCCAUUGAGAUUCAAGAUGCUAUGAUCUUGAGAUUGCCUCCCAGGUUUCCAAGAAGGAUAACUUUAGUAGACAUGCUUCCUCAUUGAGGUAAUUAAUCAAUGAUGUUAGUGAUUUGAGGGGAUAAUAUCCCUAGUCGUAAACUUUAAUAAGGAACGAGGCUUGGUAUGAAAGGGAAGGGGUCGGCUUGGACCAAGAGUAAAAGAUUUAUAAUGUUUAUCUUUUAUGUUCAUCUUGGUAGCUUGACUCAUGCUCUUAGUAAUGUUUUUGUAUGUAUGUGUUGAGCAUGUGGUACAAAUAUGUAGUCUCUUAUGAGGAAAAGUUCAAUAUAUUUGAGAAUGAUUUACUAUAUAUUGUAACCUUAUCAAAGAAUUUUUUUGGAUGUAUUUUUCGAUUAUUGUGGUGUUAUGUGUUCUUUAGUUUCUUGUGAUAGUUUAUCAUGUAAUAAACUUCAUUUCAUUGAAUUGAUGUCAUGUUUGUCAAUUAGGAAAAUGUGUUUGUUUA